rnacentral:rRNA from 1 species
UACGUAGGUGACCAGCGUUGUCCGGAUUUACUGGGCGUAAAGAGCGCGCAGGCGGUCGUUCAAGUCGAGUGUGAAAGCCCCCGGCUUAACUGGGGAGGGUCAUUCGAUACUGCUCGGCUCGAAGACAGGAGAGGGAAGUGGAAUUCCCGGUGUAGUGGUGAAAUGCGUAGAUAUCGGGAGGAACACCAGUGGCGAAGGCGACUUUCUGGCCUGUUCUUGACGCUGAGGCGCGAAAGCUAGGGGAGCAAACGGG